rnacentral:tRNA from 1 species
GCCUGAGUGGCUUAGUCGGUUGAGCGUCCGACUUUGGCUCAGGUCAUGAUCUUACAGUUCGUGGGUUCGAGCCCCACGUUGGGCU